GGUUCUGUCGUCUAGUGGCCUAAGACAACUCGUUGUCAGCGAGAAGAGCGCGGGUUCAAAUCCCGUCAGAACCGCCA
rnacentral:tRNA from 1 species